rnacentral:rRNA from 1 species
UUGAAAGGGAAACGAUUGAAGUUGCAGUCGUACUCGCGGGAAUCAACCUUUCGAGUGGUGUUUUGGAGUUUUGAAGUGUGUCAAAACCUUUGAGAUUUUAAAAUUUUCGCUCUUUUGGUGUACUUUCUCGUGGGUAGGUUAACAUCGAUUUUGAUCAUCAUAAAAAGACUGGAGGAAUGUAGCUUCGAUCUUGUAUUGAAGUGUUAUAGCCUUUGGUAAAUGUGAUGAUUAGGAUCGAGGAUUGCAACGAAUACCCUUCUGGGCUAUCCGCCUGAUCUCUGAUACGUGGCCUUGGCAUCGAAAGCUUGCUUAUGGUAUCAAGGUAUUACGGUCAAAAGGUUAGAACGGAUUACAUUCGUUAAGGAUGUUGACGUA